rnacentral:rRNA from 1 species
GACGAACGCUGGCGGCGUGCUUAACACAUGCAAGUCGAACGGAAAGGCCCUGCUUUUGUGGGGUGCUCGAGUGGCGAACGGGUGAGUAACACGUGAGUAACCUGCCCUUGACUUUGGGAUAACUUCAGGAAACUGGGGCUAAUACCGGAUAGGAGCUCCUGCUGCAUGGUGGGGGUUGGAAAGUUUCGGCGGUUGGGGAUGGACUCGCGGCUUAUCAGCUUGUUGGUGGGGUAGUGGCUUACCAAGGCUUUGACGGGUAGCCGGCCUGAGAGGGUGACCGGCCACAUUGGGACUGAGAUACGGCCCAGACUCAUACGGGAGGAAGCAGUGGGGAAUAUUGCACAAUGGGCGGAAGCCUGAAGCAGCAACGCCGCGUGCGGGAUGACGGCCUUCGGGUUGUAAACCGCUUUCGCCUGUGACGAAGCGUGAGUGACGGUAAUGGGUAAAGAAGCACCGGCUAACUACGU